AGAGUUUGAUCCUGGCUCAGAUUGAACGCUGGCGGCAUGCCUUACACAUGCAAGUCGAACGGUAACGCGGGGCAACCUGGCGACGAGUGGCGAACGGGUGAGUAACGCAUCGGAACGUGCCCAGUAGUGGGGGAUAACCCGGCGAAAGCCGGAUUAAUACCGCAUACGACCUACGGGUGAAAGCGGGGGACCGUAAGGCCUCGCGCUAUUGGAGCGGCCGAUGUCAGAUUAGGUAGUUGGUGGGGUAAAAGCCUACCAAGCCGACGAUCUGUAGCUGGUCUGAGAGGACGACCAGCCACACUGGGACUGAGACACGGCCCAGACUCCUACGGGAGGCAGCAGUGGGGAAUUUUGGACAAUGGGCGCAAGCCUGAUCCAGCCAUGCCGCGUGCGGGAUGAAGGCCUUCGGGUUGUAAACCGCUUUUGUCAGGGAAGAAACGCUCCGGGCCAAUACCCUGNGGUAAUGACGGUACCUGAAGAAUAAGCACCGGCUAACUACGUGCCAGCAGCCGCGGUAAUACGUAGGGUGCAAGCGUUAAUCGGAAUUACUGGGCGUAAAGCGUGCGCAGGCGGUUUUGUAAGACAGAGGUGANAUCCNCGGG
rnacentral:rRNA from 1 species